AGAAUACUCGCCUGUCACGGUCUUUCGAGUCGUAUGUGCACGCGAUCCGAGAGCUAAGAGGGAAGCCGGUGCAAAGCCGGCGCUGCCCCCGCAACUGUAAGCGGCGAGCUGACGUCCGAUAGUCGCCACUGGGCCCAUUGGACCCGGGAAGGCAGGACUGACGCUAAGACCCGCGAGCCAGGAGACCUACCGCGACAGUCGCAAUCGUC
rnacentral:ncRNA from 18 species